GAAUAGACGUUGCGAAUAGAUGUUAACAUUAACGAGAUAAACUCAUUAAAUGUUCCGAC
rnacentral:misc_RNA from 1 species